rnacentral:rRNA from 1 species
UCCUGUUAUCAUCCGAACACAGAAGUUAAGCUCUUAUUCGCUGAUGGUACUGCGAGUUCGCGGGAGAGUAAGUUAUUGCCAGGG